GCUUAAAGUCUUUUCAGGCAUGAAAAUAUAAAGAAUAGGAAAUAAGGUUUCAAUAGACUCUUUUUGGAAAAGAGAUCUUUAAUUGAGUGGUAUCUUGUCGCUGCUGUUAUUUUGCAACAGGUUAUCAUAAUACCCUCAUAAUCAUCUACAUAUUGGUACAUAUAUGGAAAAACAAACAAGAGCCUACAAAUCUAGAGAGAAGAAAGAGAGCAGUGUUGUGUGAUGAAGCUAUUUCAUCUCGUAUUUCACCCCUGCUUUUAACUGCAGUAAGAAAGAGCAACAACUUUACAACACCACCUGCUGUUCUGCUGCUUUUGACCUGACCCUUUUCCCUUCGCUUGUUAUUAUAAACAGUGAGCUCUUUAAGUGAGAGCUGUUUAAAGGAUAGGAGUCCCUAAGUGUUCUUUCCUGGAUCCCAGAUGCAGGGGAGACGCGGAGAGAUACUUUGAUCUUUCUUUUAUGAGUGUCUGAUGAAUUGCCUCUGGCACCUGGCAACUGAAAUUUCACUAUCUGGAAACGUCCCCUUAUGUCAAACAAUGUGGCAAAUCUCAGAGUAUGAAUUACAAAUGCUGAGUCUUUUUCUUCUUUUUUUAAAGUGCAAGACAGGAGGAGGAGAUCUUCAUGGUGGGAAGAAAAACAGUUGACAAUUGGUUGGUUUAAAGGUCCAGUCCACUGCAGAGAGACCCACAUGGAGGGCAUUAAACCGAAGAUGGCGUUGAUAUGCAGAUGAUUCCUGGACUGAUUUAAGUAUCCAGUUUCAAGAAGACAAAGGUGCAAGACCUGGAAAACAAAAGGUGGAAAACGAAAUGUCCUCCCUGAGCUUCCAGCAGCUUCAGUAUAGCAGAACUUUGAAAGAGUGGAAAAAAUUUAAAAAGUAAAGGAAAAAAUCAUA